rnacentral:rRNA from 1 species
GACGAACGCUGGCGGCGUGCUUAACACAUGCAAGUCGAACGGUGAACGAGGGAGCUUGCUCCCUCCGGAUCAGUGGCGAACGGGUGAGUAACACGUGAGCAAUCUGCCCCGAACUCUGGGAUAAGCGUUGGAAACGACGUCUAAUACCGGAUACGACGCGGGAGGGCAUCCUCUCCGCGUGGAAAGAACUUCGGUUCGGGAUGAGCUCGCGGCCUAUCAGCUUGUUGGUGAGGUAACGGCUCACCAAGGCGACGACGGGUAGCCGGCCUGAGAGGGUGACCGGGCACACUGGGACUGAGACACGGGCCAGACUCCUACGGGAGGCAGCGGAGGGGGAUAUUGCACAAUGGGGGCAAGCCUGAUGCAGCAUCGCCGCGUGAGGGACGACAACCUUCGGGUAGUAAACCUCUUUUAGCAGAGAAGAAGCGAAAGUGACGGUACCUGCAGAAAAAGCACCGGCUAAAUACGUG